rnacentral:rRNA from 1 species
AGAUUGAACGCUAGCGGGAUGCUUUACACAUGCAAGUCGAACGGCAGCGCGGACUUCGGUCUGGCGGCGAGUGGCGAACGGGUGAGUAAUAUAUCGGAACGUGCCCAGUAGCGGGGGGUAACUACGCGAAAGCGUGGCUAAUACCGCAUACGCCCUACGGGGGAAAGGGGGGGAUCGCAAGACCUCUCACUAUUGGAGCGGCCGAUAUCAGAUUAGCUAGUUGGUGAGGUAAAGGCUCACCAAGGCGACGAUCUGUAGCUGGUUUGAGAGGACGACCAGCCACACUGGGACUGAGACACGGCCCAGACUCCUACGGGAGGCAGCAGUGGGGAAUUUGGACAAUGGGGGAAACCCUGAUCCAGCCAUCCCGCGUGUGCGAUGAAGGCCUUCGGGUUGUAAAGCACUUUUGGCAGGAAGAAACGGCGUACCGUUAACGUACGGGCGUCACGUGACGGUACCUGCAGAAUAAGCACCGGCUAACCUACGUCGCCACGCACGCCGAC